rnacentral:misc_RNA from 1 species
AUGAGAUCGUGCCCUUCGGGGUAGACCUCCCACCCUCUGUAUACAAUACCUUUGUUGCUUUGGCGGCCCCAUCGCAAGAUGACCGGCUCUGUCCGGUUAGUGGCCGCCAGAGGAAUCUAAACUCACAUCAUCACUGUCGUCUGAGUACUAUACAAUAGUUA